CGCCCUGGAGAGAUUGCGAGAUUGAUGCGACAGCGAUUAGUACAGAUUGUUAAGUUAUCCUAGUUAGUUAACUAAGUAAGCUAAGCUACAUUCUGAUUGUGGGCUACCAGUUAGGGUUACGUUCAAUGUGUAGGGACUUAGGUAUAGGAAUGGGUUCUGAUUGGUUUAAAGCGAUUGAAAAUACCUAGAAAUUAGACAUAGAUUGGUCGAGAGUCCUACGCGUACAGUGCGUUACGAAAGUGACAGGCCUGUUUCGUUUAUUCAGCUAAUGCAAUGAUAUAUUAAUACCUCCUUUGCCUUUCGCAACGCACUGUACAUAAAGUUAGAUUAAGGUAUACAAAUGUAAGGGUACAGCCGAAACUACAUAGUUGGUGUUACUUACUAGGGGAAGUUUGACUAUAAAGAUACCAUAAAUAUAGGCGAGGAAAAUGAUGAAAUAUUUAUGAUAUAUAUGAGAUGUAAUGAUUGUAAUUGUAAUGAUGAAACGGCGAAAGGUCUAUUAUAAAGUACGAUACUAUUAUUGAUGCACCAAAGGGUAUUUCGAGUAAGAAAGUAAUCAAAUAUGUUGGCCAUAUGCCUGACAAGUAAUAACGGCCCUUCUCGACACGCGUGUGAUCCUGGGGGAUUUUACACGUAUGGGAAAGAGUGCCGAAUGGAUGAAAAGUUCAUUGCAUGUUGCAUAAUUAAAUAGAGAGCUUUUCAAAACAAAAAAAAAACAGAAAUAAUACAAACAACAACAAUGGUGGGGUCAACGCAAAUGGAAAAGCAGAAAAGCGGAAAAACGAAGACAAUUGAAAACUUGAAAUACAUUGAAGCUUUCGCCUUGCAACUUAACCCUUAUGCGGGUAAAGCUAAGCGAAAAAGCUCUCGAAAGCGAAGGGGGUUAAAUGUAAAGAGAUGACCGCAGGGGAAUUGCAUAUAUACUCGUACUUGUACAAAUUGUUUGUUGCCUUUUUUAUACGUGUUAAAUGUGGCUCAAAAGCUUUUGGCCCAUUUGCAUGGGCAGCCGUUAAAUGCGGAGGAUUUACCAUUACUUUCGCUAUCUCUACCGCUUUACCGCUACUUUUUUGAACACAAACGAAACGAAAAGCUCUCUCGCCCCGAAGCUUCCAUAAACGUUUUACCCACUUUCUUAUCCCCCUGACUAUUUGCCGAAAGUGUCUGCCAGCGAACCCAGCGCAAUUAUCUCCAAACAGUGAAUAAAAAAAGUACAAAAAAAAACACACAAAAAAGUACAAAAAAAAAGAAAAUUAAAAAUAGUAUGGAGGCGCUAACCGGGGUACUUGCAGAAGAAGAAAAUAGGAAAACGCGACGGCAAAUGUCAAAGAGUGAACAAAUUCAUCAAUCAUGACUGCAGGAAAGAACUGUCUUAAUUGCGUUUGUCGGAUAUUCUCCAUUAAAUAGUAAAAUGCUAAAAUGGUAAAAUGCUAAAUGCUAAAUGCUCUUAGGCCCACCUACUAGGAGACCGUAUUCUUUUCCAUUUUCCAUUCCCCUACGAUCGAAUGGCGUGUAAACAAAAUUUUUAAUUAUGACCACCGAAAGUAAUGCGAAAGCGAGAGAGAACAAAAUAAAUAAAUAUACGAACAUACAUACAUAUAUGUAUGUACAUAUGUAUAUGUGGGGGCAACGAAGUGAGAUUGAAGGUGGUGGCCAAGCGGGCAAAUGAAGAAAAUAAUUGUUGAGCCAACGCGGCGUAUGAGCAAUAUUGAUUUUCACUAAUUGGAUUUUAGCGCGCGAAAAACGUUAAAUGGCCAAAACAAGAAAAAGAUAUAAAUUCAACGAAAACAAACCGAAAGAACAACAGCAACAAAGUAAGCAAAUCACAAACUGCCAGCGUUUUAUGAUUAUUAGAACACAUCUGUAACAUAAAUAAAGAAAUCCGAACUGAACAUAAAAA